UGAAGUAUAGCUCAACUGGCAGAGCGACGGUCUCUGACACCGUAGGUUCUUGGUUCGACCCCAAGUACUUCAG
rnacentral:tRNA from 1 species